CCGGCACCCGCGGGGGCGCGUUGAAGCCCGUGUCACGGCGUGUCAUGGCGUGCGGCGACGCGUGUGGGUGCGCGUCGCGGCGUGUGGGUGCGUGUCGUGGCUUGUCAUGGCGUGUCGCGACACGUGUGGGUGCAUGUCAUGGCGUGCGGGUGUGUGUCAUGGCUUGUCAUGGCGUGUUGCGACGCGUGUGGGUGCACGUCAUAGCGCGUGGGUGCGYGUGGGUGCGUGUCACGGCAUGUGGACGCGUGAAGGCGCGUGUCACGGCGCGUGGCGUAUCACGGCGUGUCAUGGCGUGUCGCGACGUGUGGGUGCACGCCACAGCGUGUGGGUCUGUGUUAAGGUCUGUGUCACAGCGUGUUGCAGCGUGUGGGUGCGUGUCCCGGCGUGUGGCAAUGCGGGUGAGUGCAUGUCACGGCAUGUGGGUGCGUGUCAUGGUGUUUGGGUGCGCGUGGGCGCGUGCCCCGGCGUGUGGGGCCGUGUGUGGGUGCGUGUGGGUGCGUGUGGGUGCGUGUCAGGGCGUGCGGGUCCGGGUUGGUGCAUGCGGGUGCGUGUGGGGCCGCGUGUCAUGGCGUGUGGGUGCAUGUGGCCAUGUGUGGACAUGUGUGGAUGCAUGUGGGUGCAUGUGGGUGCGUGUCCCGGCAUGCGGGGAUGUGUGUGCGUGUGCGUCAUGGCGUGUGGAUGCAUGUGGCCGCAUGUUGCGGUGUGCGGGGACGCGUGUGGGUGCGUGUGGGGCCGUGUAUGGCCGCGUGUGGGCGCGGGUGGACAUGUGCGGCUGCGUGUGGACACGUGUGGAUGCGUGUGGGCACGUGUGGCUGCAUGCAGCUGCAUGUGGCUGUGUGUGGGGGGCUGUGUGGCGACGCGUGUGGACACGUGUGGGUGCGCGGGGGUGCAUGUGGACAUGUGUCAUGGCGUGCGGGUGCAUGUCCCGGCCUGUGCGUGCAUGUGGGUGCGUGUCCCGGUGUGGGGGGACGCGUGUGGCGACGCGUGUGGCCGUGUGUGGGUGCGUGUCAUGGCAUGUGGAGGCGUGUGGGGCUGUGUGGUGAUGCGUGUGGACGYGUGUGGCUGCAGGUGGGUGUGUGUGGCCGCGUGUGGAGACGUGUGGACACGCGUGUCAUGGCGUGUGGGUGUGUGUGGAGGCGUGUGGGGCCGUGUGGCGACGCGUGUGGGUGCGUGUGGGUGCGUGGGGACACGU
rnacentral:lncRNA from 1 species